AAGUCGUAACAAGGUUUCCGUAGGUGAACCUGCGGAAGGAUCAUUUUUGGAUUUUUAAAAUUAACUUGGGGUUGUUAUGACUCCCGAGUAGUUGACUGAACUCGUCCUAGGUAAAAUUAGGACUUGAACAUGGCAUUGUCUUGACUAAUUAUUUAAUUAAUGAAAACUUUCAACAACGGAUCUCUAGGCUCUU
rnacentral:misc_RNA from 1 species